UCAAAUGGGUGUUUUUAUUAUUGUAUAUGGGGUUUAUAUAUGACCCCUCCGGUCAUCGAAGAAAGAAUGCAGCACGGAGUAUUUGGUAAAAAUUGAGCCACACGCAUCUCCAACAUUGGCGUCCGUGUGCGGCAUAUUUCUCCAAGUAUACAUUCCUGGCAUCUCGCUGAUCUCUUUGAUUAAAGCCGGCUAUUUAGACUCCUACACCUACAAUUCAUAGAGACAGAAAUAUUGUAAUAACAGUAGAAACCGGUACGGAUUAAAACCAAUCAUUAACCAAAGUAAAUGCCACUUUCUGCAUGCGUCCCCCCCCCCCCCCAAAAAAAAUAUAAAUCUGAGUAAACCAUUUAUGUAAAAAAAUAUUGGUAUUUUAAACUAAACAAUAUCUAUCAUAAACUGUUUAGUCUUAAUAAUUUUUGAUGGUAUAGAGUCUUAAAUAGUACUCACUCCGUUUUUUUUUAUUUAUCGCUGGAUAGUGCAAAAUUACACUAUCCAGCGACAAAUAAAAAGAAACGGAGAGAGUAGUAUUGUUUUAUUAACUUAGUCAAACAUAAAUUAGUUUAGCUCUAAAAAAGAAGAUGGAUCCUUCCCCAUUCUCCCGCAGAUCUUGAUAAGCUGUCCGGAGAAUAGAAAGAUUAUCCAUUCCUUUGUCCAGAUAGGAACGAUCAUUUCUAGCACAAACAUAGGGUGGAUCAAGAUAUAUAUUUAGGACUAGUUUGGUAACCUUAUUUUUCUACAAGAAAAAUAGUUUUUUCCCUUUAAAAAUGAGAAUCCCGUGAAAAAAUAGAGUUGUCAAACUAACUCUUACAUAAUGUUGAAAUGCUAAUAUUGGUCGUUUCAAAUUGUAUAUGGUUCUGAUUAUUCUAGAUAAACAUAUGCGUACGGGAUGCGCAACAAAACUAUAGGGGUGUUUGGUUUCUAGUGACUAAUUUUUAGUCCCUCAUUUUAUUCUAUUUUAGUCCCUAAAUUACUAAAUAUAGAAACUAAAACUCUAUUUUAGUUUCCCUAUUUAACAAUUUAUGAACUAAAAUGGAAUAAAGUGGAGGGACUAAAGUUUAGUCCCUAUAAACCAAACACCCCCUAUAUAAAGUCACGUAACAACUUAUAUUUCUUAAAAUGGAAACACUUUAAUAGCUUGGCAGCCCUAGCUCUGCGUCAGAAGCAGAACGUGCUAGAAAAGGAAAAAAAAGGAAGUUCAAACAUCCAAAUUCUAGGAGCUACCGUAUUUUUUUCCCAACCGGAUUAAUAUGGAACAACUCCUAAAAUGGAACUCCUUAAAACCCGCUUUUCAUGCUAGAUCAAGCGGUGGAAAUAAAACUAGGAAUCUUAUGUCUAGUGCCUAUACAUGUCCAAACGGGCCAGGCCGGCAGUGGGCCCGUGACCCGGCACGGUCGUGGCCUAGCACGAGCACGGUCUGGCCCGACUAGAGGUGUGCCCGGGCCGGCCCGGUACAAUAGCCGUGCCGGGCUUGGGCUAGCCGUUGGGCCCGCGGUGCAGGCACGGGCCCGACACGGUAAAUUGGUAGGCACGGUAACGGUCCGUUUGAGAGACUGAUUUUAUAACGGCCAGUCUAUUUUUAGCUAUAAUACUUAUGAUAUGUUAUUAUAUGAGAGCAUUCUGACUUGUGAUAUGUGUUUAUAUGUGUAUCUGAAAUUCUUUGUCUAAAUAUGUAUCUAAAAUUAUAAAUAUAAUUAAUUAAAUGUAAAAUAAAUUUGAAUAUUACCUUUAAAUUCUGAAUUUUGGAGUGUUUUUUUAUUUAUGGGACCGGGCCCAACCCGGCACGACAGGCCCGCUGUGCCUCCGGCCCGGCACGGCCCGUGUAAGAAUAACCGUGCCGGGCCCGGGCUGCGUUAGCCAGCCCGCGGGCCGGCCCGGCCCGGCACGAUACCGAACCGUGCCGGGCUUGGACUGAUGCCCCUCGUGCCGGGCCAAGCCGUGCCCGGGCCGGGCCGGCCCGACACGGCCCGUUGGACAUGUAUACCAGUGCCCCCCUGCAUCACUCUCUCCUAGGCGACUCGGGGGCAACCUGUCGGUGUUUUGGGUCCGACCGCACACCCGGAGUUGCCCCUCAAGGUGCUUUUAGGAGUAGGACGGUGUUACCGACUGUAGCUCAAUGGUUCGUGCAAGGUGCACGAGAAAUAGUAGACAAUGGUGUACAGGUUCGGGCCGCUUUGAGAUGCGUAACACCCUACGUCCUAGCGAGAAUGCUUUAUGUGGUGGAUUACAAGGGAGCUCUCUAAUGUUGGGAACGUAGAGAGUCGGGGUGGAUGGCUGAGUAGUGAGAUCGAUCGUUCUGAAGGGGUGCCCCCUAGGCCUUAUAUAUUCUACCGUGGGGCAGUACAUGCAGAUAUGAUGACAAUGCGCACCUAAGAAAUAGUGAAUUGAUUGAGUCUAUCUUCCUAUAGCUCUGCCGACUCAUCCUCGCUUGGUUCCGUUGUACGGGGCUCUAGCGCGGGAAAGUCGGGUCUCUGUUGUGGUUACUUGCUCGACGUUGAUGGGCCGUCUGGGCUCACACCGAUCCGGCCUUGUGUCGAUCUGCUUCACUGGUCAUUCCUCUCCAGGCCCACGAAGGGAUGACCUUACGAUUUAUUGGGCCCUCGGGCCUUUCGUGAGGUCUUUUAUCCUUCCGGUGGACCCGGGGGAUAUCUGUCCCCCACAAGCCCCGAUCUUUGGGUUGGUUUUGAAAUAAUCGGCCCAAAGAUCCUAGGUCCAGCUUGCGGUCUUCGUUUAUGACAGGAGAUGCUUCCCGGGUAGUCUGGUAAAAACGAUUUCUUACUGUCUCCUUCUGCUUUUAUCACUCGAAAACUGGUGUUCUGUCUCAAACUCGUGCUUUGGAGGUCAGCAUUUUGUACUAUAGGACCUUGAACUUUAUUGGGUGCACCGGGGGUGCACCCAAUGGGUGUAGCCCCCGAGCUUCGAGUGGAUUUUUGAAAAUAAUCCACUCGAAGGUCUUCACUUCGAGUAUUAUUUGAAAUUAUUUUUAUUUUCCGCUUGCACUUUGUUGGAGGUCAGCCUUGCUUUUGAUCUCGCCAUAUGCUUUAAAAGUUAGCAUUAUCUUGACUUGAAAUGACGAUCCAUUGGGUGCACCGGGUGUAGCCCCGGGCUUCGAGUGGAUUUUUGAAAAUAAUCCACUCGAAGGUCUUUAUUUCGUGCCCUUUUGCUGAGAAUCAUCCUCUCUUUUUUCGAAUGCCUUAGAGGUCAGCAUUAUAUCGUUGAUAUUAUGCUUUAGAGGUUAGCAUGUAUUUUGUCUUUGAGGCCGAGUUCAUGAUCUGUCCAUAUCUUGCUAGGUGGUGCAAUUUAUUUGAUCUGCGACUGAUUGGACGUUCGAUGGACGUCCCCUGGCUAGUCUUCAUGUCGCUUCUGUCGGUCAGACUUGUACUUCACCGGCUAUAUUUGGCUUUCCUUUGAUCCUUACUGAUAUCUCAUUUUUGUCUUGAGGUAUUCAUUGCAUGCCCUGCACGGAUGUGACAGUUUUGAAAAAUAUACUGAUAAUUCCUGGGCGUCCCCCCCAAUGGGUGUGGGCAAGGGACGGCUUGGUACGCUGAGUGUUUUAGCAGACUGUUUCUGAGUAGUAAUUUGAUGUGACCGCGGGUGUAAUCAUAUCACCCGCGCAGUUGACUGGAGUCCCAAUGGGUGUUGCGUUGCGUGAAGGGGCGUCAGCCGCCUGACGUAUCUUCAGACGAUUUGAAGUGCAUAUUGAAUUUUUGCGACUGUUCAGUGACCGUGGUAGGAGGUGAGCGGUUGCCUUCUUCUUCUAUAAAUAGUGCCUUUGCCUCUCCGGUUUUUUCACAUCUCUUGCUGCUUGUUUACUCUCCUCUUCUUCUCCCCUCUGCCACCAUGGGUAAAAGUAAGAACGGUAGCGGUUCUUCUCCUCGCUCUGGCGACAAACGCAAACGUGAGCCGACUCCUCCUUCGGAGGACUUCGGCGACUCAGAGUACUCGGAGGAGGAGUUCUCCUCCGAGUCCGAGGGAUCCUCGGCUCCCGUCUCUCCCCCGGCGUUGUCUGAUGAUUCAGACGACACCUAGGGGAUUGCCACGGAGGUCUGGACCUACAUCUGGGCCGUCGAGCGCUCCGGGCUCGAGGGUUCGAAUGAGUCGGAGUACUCCUCGGAUGAGGAGGACUCCUCGGACUUGUCCGAGGAGGACAGCAGCGGCGACAGUGGUGAUGGCGGCGACGACGGGGGCGACGGUGACGGCAGCGGCGACAACGGCAAGGGCAGCGACAGCGGCAGCAAGGGCGACCAUGGCGGCGGCAACAAGGGCAGCAGAAAGGGCAGCAACAAGACCAGUGGCUAGAUGCCACUGGUUUUUUAGAUGUUAGUAUAGAUUAGAAGUAGUAUAAUGAAAUAAUGUAGCAGUAGUUAGUAGUAUAGAGUAGUGUAGUGUAAUGUAGUAGUAGGGAGGUUAUCAACUCAUAAUGAGUUGGUUUGUAAGUUCGGUAGUUUCCCUUUAUAAUGAAAAGUGAUUUCGCUCCACUUCUGCAUGUGUCAUGCUGCUUUCUCGUUAUAUGCCAAUCAAUGCGCGAGGAGUAUCUGUGAUCAUCAAAUCGCUUUUCUAACUGCUUUAUUUGUAAUGAUGACGCUUCGGAGGUUGCAACCGAGUCAUCCGAAAUCCCCUUCGUUGCUUUUAGGAAUGACGACCGAGUUACGGUGGGUCGUGCCGGUAUCUUUUAGAUGUAUUCAGCCGAGUGAUUAAUGGCAACAUCGGUGUUUUUAGAGGUAACAGCCGAGUGACUUACGGUGGCAUCGGCGUUUUAGAGGUAACAGCCGAGUGACUGACGGUGGCGUCGGCGUUUUAGAGGUAACAACCGAGUGAUUAAUGGCAACAUCGGCGUUUUAGAAGUAACAGCCGAGUGACUGACGGUGACGUCGGCGUUUUAGAGGUAACGGCUGAGUUAGAACGGGCCGCGUCGGCCGUUUUGGAAAUAACGGCCGAUCGAUGACAUGGCACGACAGCGUUUUUAGAAAUAACCGCUGGGUGAUGAUUGGACGCUUUUUGGAAACAGUAUCUGGCCAGGAAAAACCCCAUAUGUACUGCAUCGUUGCGCGCUUCUGCUUUUCGUGCCCUAAUUCUUGCUUUUCUGCAUCCAAGCUUUCCUUGCGCUCGUGCGAUACUGCCUUCGUCCUGCUCGCCGGCGAGAUUGAGAUGGCGCCCAAGCGGAAAACAUCAGGUUCAUCCGCUGCUGUCAUUCCUCCCAUCGAUCCCAACAGCCAGUUGCCUUUCGCAGGUAACCAUAUGUCAGUUGUUUCUGAGUCUGAUCUUCUCCACCUCACGUCCAUUGGGGUUCUUCCCCCGAAGGAGCUCUGUUCUUGGCGGGUUUGUCAUGGGGUCACUGUUCCAACAGAGGACACCCACGAAUCUGUCGUAUAUGUUCCUUUUCUUCUCCGUGGUCUUGCCCUUCCUGUUUCUCCUUUUUUCCGUGGCCUCCUUGAUUUCUAUCACUUGAAUCUGACCCAUCUAAACCCUAAUUCCAUUCUGCAAAUCUCCAUCUUUGUUCAUUUAUGUGAGGCCUUUCUUGGCAUCCUGCCACACUUUGGGCUGUGGAAAUACUUGUAUCACUGUCGGCCUGGGAUGGCCGGAGGACAACAUCAGCUGGUGGGGGGCGCGAGCUUAGAAAUGCGUCGCGGAAGAAAAACUGAUUAUCUCGAUAUCCCCCUCAAAGAUAGCAUUAAAGGAUGGCGCUUGGAGUGGUUUAUUGUUGAGAAUCACGGAAAUUCUCUCCCCCGCAGUCAGGGAGACAGCCAGACGUUUGCACUCCGAGCUGGACUGAAUCCCCCACAGACCAGGAUGUGGCUGAGGCAGGAGUUCUGCUAGCUGAAGUUGGAUUGUUGAAGGAGAGGGGUGUGACUGCAGAAGCUGUGGUUGCUGACUUUGUCUUCAAGAACAUUCAGCCAUUGAAGGAUAGGGCAUACCCGGCCUACCUGUACCGAGGUCUAGCUGAUUCCACCCGGGUCACCAAUAGAAGAAUUCCUGUUGUGGACUUGGUGAGCCGGCUUGAAAUGAUACUUAGGGGCAAGGUGUCAAAUGUUGGUGCCCCUGUUGCCUACUCGGCUUGGAACUUGCCUCCUUCCAAGGCCUUUACCCAUUUCGUGUCAAGUCCUCCUGCUGGCGAUGGCGGUUUGGGCCUUAGAGUGCGACCCUCUGCCGAAGAAGUUAGUGUGUUGGUUGCUUCGCUUGAAGGAAUUCCUGAUGAUGAACGACAGGUUCAUUUUGAGGUGCCUUUGGAUCCCAGUGAUGCAGAGAUAAGUGCCAUGCUUGAUAUGUUAGCCGAAGAUUCUUCUGAUGCCGCUCCUGCUAGGACAUCAGUGGUGGCGCCUCUCCCGGAAGCUGGUAAAACCUUGGAUAUUCAGAGGCCUGUCAGUGUUCGCCCGAAGUGCCCUUGCCGAGUCAAUCAACUUGAUUCUCCUGCUGAUUAGCAGAAAAAGAAAAAGAGACAUCUUCGACGAGUAUCUAGCUUGGAUCGGGAUGGUGGUCCUUCGGUUCCUGCUGUUGAGGAAGUGCCUGUGCCUGAGUUUACCGACGCUGACCCCAAUGGGUGUGAUCCAUCUGUCGCUGAUCCCAAGGGGUGUGAUCUAUCUGUGGCUGAUCCCAAUGGGUGUGCUGUCUGUGUUGCUGAUGAAAAUGAGGAGGAGGAAGAAGAUGAGAUCCCUCUGACUCGGAAGAACAGUCGGCGAUAUGUAGCCAGUGGGGAAAGUAGUGGAGUUCCUUCUCCUGCUCUGUCUGCCCUCAUUGGUCUACAAGAAUUGUCUCUGGCGAACUUUGAUCAGACACUUGAAGAUAUGGUUCCAGAGGAUCUGUUAUCAGAGCCGGCAGAUGGUGACGCGAUGGAUGUUUGUGCUGAUGUGUUCGACGCCAGGUUGGGGUCAUCCCGGGCAGCGUCCUGCGCCUCAUCGACCUUGGAGCGCGGUCUUGAGGGUCAGGAAACUGACUUGGACUGUCCUGCUCCCAUGGAAGUGACUGAGGGACCUUCAGCCUUAGAGGCGGCUGCUGCAGAGAACUUGGCCCUCAAGGAUGGUGUUGACACUUACCCAGCCCCCGAGGGUGUUGCCGGGAUGAUUCGGCUCGGGUGGGAAGCGUAAGCCGUGACCCAGCCCCCGAGGGUAUUGCCGGAGACGAUCCGGCUCAGAUGGGUAGCGCAAACUAUGACCCAGCCCCCGAGGGUGCCCGAGCGGGGUCUCCCUCUUGUACUUCCAUGGAUGUUCACGCAGGAUCUCCUCCACACUCUGGUUGCAUGGUGGUAGCCCAAGCUUUUGGUCAAGGAGUCGCUUUAUAGGCUAGCGUUCCUGUCGACAAAGUUUUGGGCUCUGCUGAUGACACUGAAUUGGUUCCUGCUGGUUCAUUGCAAGUUGCUCCGGAUGGUGAUCCUACGCCAAGCUAUCAAUUGAUUUCUCACGAUUUGGGAGUCCCCUCAUUCUUCUCCAACCUCUAGGUACUAUGGUCUAUUCUAGUCUGACUUUUACACCGGAUGAACUGCUGUCAUUACACUCAUCUGCUCUCAAUAUCAGGCGUUGGUGGACGGGAUGGCUAGUCAGCUGAAGUUGUAAGGUGCUUCUGUUCCAGAAAGAGCUUCGUCUCUGGCACGUUGGAAUCCGGUGCUGCUUCAACAGCGUGUUUCUGACUUAGAGGCGGCGGAUGCUGGUUAGUGCUUUUCUGCUUCCUUUCGUCUAUCUUAUUAAACUGCUUCUUAAUCUAAACUUUUUGCUUGAUUGUUUCUUGCUAGAUAUGGCUCGGUAGUUUUCUGUUCUUGAAGAAAAACAUUCUCAAAAUCAGGCUGAAUUGGUCCGGCGGUGCUCUGAUUUUGAAGAAAAGUAUUCCCAAAGUCAGACUGAGCUGGCCCAAGUUUCUGCUGCUCUGAACGAUGCCAACAUGUUGAACUCUACUCUCCACGCUCAGCUUGAUUCUGAAAAGGUGACCUGAAAACCCGAGCUUUGUUUUGCCAUGUUCUUAUUGCUUGCUCGACGUUUGAAGAAGUUAAUUCUUGUUUGCAGGAAGAAAAACGUGUCCUUGUUGCUUCUCGUGACAAUCUUGACAAGCUAUAUCGCGACUCCAGCAACUCGUUGACCAUCCUGGAGAGGAGUCAUCGCUUCACCAUGGAGGAGUUAGACAAUCAUCGCUGUAAGCUGCAGGAGUCUUCAGAUGACGUGAUUCGUCUCAGGCAGUCGAUAUCGGCCAAGGAUGCUGUCAUCAAGGAACUGUGUGCUUCCAAGAAGUCCCUCACCCAGGAGCUAGAAACCGCUCAGUUGGCUAUCAAGGUUGCUGAAGAGACUUCCGUUACUAUGAGGGCCCAGCGCGAUAGAGCCAUGGAUAAAGUCAUUCGCGCAGGGCGGAUCUUGAUGAGGAGACCCGGUGUGAUUGUUCCUGACGAUAUAAGGGCUGAUGUGAACGCUGCUCCUGAUUCCUCAAGUCGCCCUUCUUCGUCGGUUGCCCCUGAGAAGAAUGUUGCAAAAUAGAAAAACAUUGCGUGCUUUGAGCGCGCGGUUAUCGUGCUCGGAUAUUUUGUUAGAGGACACCAGCUUGACAUUUGAAUGCUACUGUUAUUCUCCUAUCAUUUUAGAAUUCAGUAGUAUCUAAAUUUGCAGAAAUAAAAUGCUGUAUGAUGAUUUUGAAACUUUUUCACGGGACAUAGAGGUCGCCCGUAUAUGAGUAAUCGUAAGCAUGUGGAACCGUCUUAAGUCGUUGCUGACUUAAACCGAUUGCUUUUGUUAAUAGGGCAUAGUAGUAAUCCCGAGUUAAGUAAGCGCGAGCAUGUUGCACCGUCUUAAGUCGUUGCCGACUUAAGCCGAUUGCUCCGUUAGCAGGGCAUAGUGGUCACCCCGAGUUAAGUAAGCGUGAGCAUGUGGCACCGUCUUAAGUCGUUGCCGACUUAAGCUGAUUGCUCCGUUAGCAGGGCAUAGUGGUCACCCCAGGUUAAGUAAGCGUGAGCAUGUUGCACCGUCUUAAGUCGUUGCCGACUUAAGCCGAUUGCUCUGUUAGCAGGGCAUAGUGGUCACCCCGAGUUAAGUAAGCGCGAGCAUGUUGCACCGUCUUAAGUCAUUGCCGACUUAAGCCGAUUGCUCCGUUAGCUGGGCAUAGUGGUCACCCCGAGUUAAGUAAGCGCGAGCAUGUUGCACCGUCUUAAGUCGUUGCCGACUUAAGCCGAUUGCUCCGUUAGUUGGGCAUAGUGGUCACCCCGAGUUAAGUAAGCGCGAGCAUGUUGCACCGUCUUAAGUCAUUGUCGACUUAAGCCGAUUGCUCCGUUAGCAGGGCAUAGUGGUCACCCCGAGUUAAGUAAGAGUGCAGGUCGACCAUGAACAAUAUGGGUAUUCUUGAGGUCUCUUUAUUGAUGAUAUAUUUCCAGUUUACAUAGUACAUUGUCGUCCCGAUAGCUUUUGAAAUACAGCUAGGGGUAAAAUUUCCUGAGGUGUUCUAUGUUCCAUGAGUUUCCAAUUUCCGUGCCAUCCAUCUGAGUGAGACGAUAUGAUCCCAGCCGAGUGACUUCUGCUACUAUGAAUGAUCCUUCCCAUAAAGGUGACAACUUAUGUCGUCCCUCCCCCGUUAGAAUUCGGUGGAGGACGAGGUCUCCCACUGCAAAGGAUCGACGUCGCAUGGCCUUAUCGUGGUAACGCCUCAAAGUUUGCUGGUACCGCGCUGAUUGAAUUACUAUAUUUAGUCGUUCUUCUUCGAGUAUAUCAAUAUCCUCCAGCCUAGUAGCCUCGGCUUCUGCUAUGCUUUCAAAGAUCAACCUUGGCGCCCCAAACUUGAGGUCAGCAGGUAGUACUGCCUCUGACCCAUAGACCAUGAAGAAAGUAGUAUUUCCAUGCAGAGCUCGACUAGGUUGGGUUCUUAGGCUCCAAACGACGUAGGACAACUCCCUUAUCCACUUUCCUGCAAACUUUUCGUUUUUAUCGAAGACUUUCUUCCUGAGUGCCUCCAAUAUCAUCCCGUUAGCUCGUUCAACCUGCCCGUUGGCUCUUGGGUGUGCCACCGAAGCAUAUUUGAUCUGAAUGCUUUUUUGCUCGCAGAAAUCGAAGAACUCUGAACUUGUGAAGUUGGAUCCUAGGUCAGUUAUGAUACUAUUUGGUAUUCUGAAUCUGAAUAUUAUGUCUUGUAUGAAUUCCACGGCCUUAGCUGAGGUUAAAGAAGCAAUGGGUUUGAAGUCUAUCCAUUUGGUGAAUUUGUCAAUUGCUACCAGUAUAUGAGUGUAUCCUCCUUGAGCUUUCUUGAAAGGUCCAAUCAUAUCCAGUCCCCAGCACGCGAACGGCCAAGUUACUGGUAUGGUCUGCAGUUGCUGUGCUGGUAGAUGUUGUUGCUUUGACAAGUACUGGCAGGCUUCGCACCUCUGAACUAACUUGGCUGCAUCACUUUUCGCUGUUGGCCAAUAGAACCCCGACCUGAAGACCUUCCCAACUAGUGUCUUGGAUGCUGCGUGUAUUCCACAUUGCCCAGCAUGGACCUCAUCUAGAAGUUGCUUCCCAGUAGAUGAGAGAAUGCAUUUCAUGAGGACGCCCGAGGCACCCCUUCUGUAUAAUGUUUCCCCAAUGAGUGUCUAGUGAGCUGACUGUCUAGCGAUGCGCUCGGCUGCAUUUUUGUCAUAUGGUUCCUCUUCAUUCUUUAUAUAUCUGAUGAUUGGCCUUCUCCAGUCAUCAGAAUCUGACUCUGGUUGGCUCAUGGUAUUACAUUCCUCUGCCUGAUCUGAUGAAAUGCUUGGGUGUGGUAUUUCUUGUACAAAGACUCCAGGUGGGACCUGAGUUCGACUGGAUCCUAGCUUGGACAAUACAUCAGCUGUCGUGUUUCGAUCUCUUUCUACAUGGUGAAAUUCUAGACCUUCGAAUUUGUCUUCUAGUUUCCGGACGGUGGUGCAGUACUUUCCCAUUGAAUCGCUCGAACAGUCCCAUUCUUUGUUUAUCUGGCUUAUGACUACCAAAGAAUCUCCGUAUACCAUCAGUCUCUUGAUGUCUAGUGAUAUAGCAAUGUUCAGUCCAUGAAUCAGAGCUUCAUAUUCGGUUGCGUUGUUAGAGGCUAGAAAUAACAACUGGAGGGCAUAUUUGAGGUGCUCGCCUCCAGGUGCGGUAAAGAGGAUCCCCGCGCCUGCUCCCUGCAGUUUUAACGAGCCAUCAAAAUACAUUCGCCAUACUUCUGCGGUUUCUAGGUUAUCUGGUACUUGUUGUUCAGUCCAUUCUAAUACGAAAUCAACCAAUGCUUGAGUUUUGAUGGCAGUGCGAGGUCGAAAUUCAAUGUCAUGAGAUCCCAGCUCGCAGGCCCACUUGGCUAUUCUGCCAAUGGCUUCCUUGUUGUGAAGAAUAUUCCCUAUCGGAAAACCAGUGACUACUAUGACUUUGUGGUCGUCAAAGUAGUGACGUAGUUUGCGUGCAGUUAGAAGUACUGCAUAUAAUAGCUUCUGAACUUGAGGAUACUUUUUCUUUGAGGGACCCAGAACUUCACUGAUGAAAUAAACAGGAUGUUACACUGGGUAGGCAUGUCCUUCUUCUGCUCGCUCGACUACCAACGCGGUGCUUACCACGUGAGUCGUGCAAGAGAUAUACAGCAGCAAACCUUUAGCUGGUUGAGUUGACGUGGCUCGCCGUGGCGGCUUCAGCACUAGUGGUGUCGUCAAGAAAUUUUUCAGUGCAUCUAGGGCUUCCUGUGCUUCUGAAGUCCACUGAAACUUAUCCACCUUCUUGAGUAGCUUAUAAAAUGGUAAGCCUUUUUCUCCCAACCUGGAUAUGAAUCUGCUCAGGGCUGCCAUACACCCGGUAAGUCUCUGAACUUUCUUUUGUGAUCGCGGCGCCUCCAUUUUCAUGAUAGCUUCGAUCUUAUCCGGAUUAGCUUCAAUUCCCCGGUGGCUGACAAUAAAUCCGAGUAGCUUUUCUGCUGGUACCCCAAAGACACAUUUUUCGGGAUUAAGCUUCCAUCGAUAUCGCCGUAGACUGUUGAAAAACAGCUGUAAGUCUUCGAUGAAAUUUUCCGAGUUCUCCAUUUUGAUUACCACAUCAUCUACAUAGGCUUCCACACGCUUGCCCCAGUGAUCGGCUAAGCAUGUUUGAAUGGCUCUCUGAUAAGUCGCUCCAGUAUUUUUGAGGCCGAACGACAUGGAGGUAUAGCAGAAAGCACCGAACGGAGUGAUGAACGCUGUUUUUUCCUCGUCUUCUUUUGCCAAGCUAAUAUGAUGAUAUCCGGAGUAGCAAUCCAGGAAAGACAGCACAGAACAUCCAGUGGUGGAAUCUACCACCUGAUCUAUCCUAGGAAGCCCGAAGGGAUCCUUUGGACAGUGUUUGUUGAGAUCCGUAUAGUCGACGCACAUGCGCCAAUCCACUUUAUUCUUUUUGAGUACAAGAACAUGGUUGGCUAACCACUCAGGAUGUAACACCUCUCUAAUAAACCCAGCCGCGACCAAGCGGGCCAGCUCAGCGCGAAUGGCCUCUCUCUUGUCGGGCGUGAAGCGACGUAGUUUUUGCCGAAUCGGCCUCGCCUGGGGAUAAACCUUCAGUUUAUGCUCGACCAGUUCUCUCGGGACUCCCGGCAUAUCCGCAGGUUGCCAUGCGAAUAGGUCUCGGUUAUCUUGUAGAAACUGGACGAGCGCGCCUUCCUAUUUGUCAUCCAGGCUGGAGCUGAUGAUGGCAGUCUUGCGUUCAUCAGCGAACACCAGGUUGAUCCUUUUGGUUUCUUCGGUCGGCCGCAUAGAGAUCGCGGCUUGUGCUUCAUUUGCGGGUACCGUAAGAUCUUCCUUAGGCUUAGAGUUUGCCUGUACAGAAGAAGUCGCUGACGGUUUGGUGGUGAGGGCCGCCUGGAUGGCCACUCGGAAACAUUCUGCGGUGCCUUGGAAGUCAGCGCGCACAGUUAUGAUUCCUUGCGGCCCUGACAUCUUCAAUAUCAUGUACGUGUAAUGCGGAAUGGCCAUGAAUUUUGCCAAUCCCAGCCUCCCGAUGAUGGCGUUGCACCCGCAGUCGAAGUUCGCCACUUCGAACCUCAGGAACUCGGUUCUGUAGUUCUCCGGAGUUCCGAAGGUGACUGGCAUGUAGAUGUGGCCCAGCGGGUAUUCUCCUUUAGUCGGCACGAUGCCGAAAAAAGGAGUAUCUGACUCGUGGAGCUCUUUAAGGUGAACUCCCAAGCCUUGGAGUGUCCGGGGGAAGGUGACGUUGAUGCUGCUCCCCCCGUCCACUAAUACCUUCUUCACCCUGCUCUCUCGGAUCACCGGAUCGACGAGGAGCGGGUAUUUUCCCGGGUGGUCGAAGUUGAGCCAUUGAUCUGCUCGAGUGAAGGUGAUCGGGUGCUCCGACCAUCGGUACGGAGCGGGAGGACCGGUUGUCGCCACCAGUAUUUGGCGAUCGUUGAGCUUUUGCUGUCUUCUGUUCUCUUGCAAUCCGUGUCCGCCGAAGAUGACGUUGACCUCUCUGUCGACGCGCGGGAAGGCUCCACCUUCUCCCUCCUCCUGUUGCUGAGGUUGUCGCGGUUCUCCUGGUCCUCCCCGCGGCGGAGGAAGAGGUAAAGGUUGGAAGGGCCGGCCGUGUCCGACGGAGUGCUUGAAGUCUCUGCAGUUCUGAAGGGUGUGGCGCAUGUCCUUGUGGUAUGGGCACUGGGCGUCGAGGAUGUCGUCCAGCGUGCGUUCGCCUCCACGAGGUCCUCCCCGGGCGCGAGAGGCAGGUGGUCCAGCAGCGUGUACUUCUUCGCGAGGCCUCUUCUCCCAGCGUUUGUCGGGUUGCUGGUUCGUAUCGCGUCGUGGUGCUGCUGGUGCAGGCUUCGCUCCUCCGAUGAGGUCCUGAGCUCGCUCGUCGGCGGUGAUGUAGAGGUCGGUUUCCUGGAACAGUUGCUCGGAGGUAGUCGGCGCCUUCUGUAAUAUGGCUCGGACGAAAGCCGAGUCGUUGGAUCCUCUGUAGAAGUCCUCGAUCACGGCCACCUCCGUGACCUCGGGGAUACGAUUUCUCAUGGUCUGGAACCUUUUGAGGUACGACCGAAGAGUUUCGUCCCCCCGGCGCUUGAUGGAUUUGAGGUCCCAUGGUUGCGCGGGUUUGUCGGAGAGGGACUGAAAGUUGGCAGUGAAGCGUCGACUGAAGUCGCUCCAGUCGUCAAUGCAGUGUCGGGGUAGAUGUCGCAGCCAUUGCAGCGCGUCUUGCCCGAGGACGAUGGGUAAGUACGCGGUCAUCACGUCCUCGGAUGCCCCGGCAGCUCGAGCAGCGGUGGUGUAGACGGCCAGCCAGCCUCCUGGAUCCUGCUUAGGUUCAUAUUUGUCGACAUUGGAUACCUUGAAGUUAGGAGGCCAUUGAAUGGCCCUAAGGCGUGGAGUAAGAGCAGACACUCCACACGUGUCUUCUUGUCGUCGGGGACGAUGUCUGUUCCGGGGAGGGGAGUAGUUGUCGUGGUGCCUCGACCGUCCCCGGGUGGUUCCACCAGUCGAGGCCGUUGCCGACUCGGUUCUGGUGGCCUGACUUCGAGCUGGGAUGUCGUGGUCCCUGUCGUAUUCUUCCCGGCGGUGGAUCUCGUUCUCAUGUUGUCGUUCACGCGAGGCGUUGAUGAAGCUUCGCGCGUCCCGACGGCUGUUGAUGGUGUGUCGUAGGUCAUUCGGCGGGUGAGCGAGAGGUAGAAGAUGGUUGGCUACUUGAGUGAAUAGUCGUCGAUAGCCCUCGGCGUCGGGAGUCCGAGGGAGUCCAUCAGCUAUCCGAGCCAGUACCCCUCCAACUUCACUCGGCGUGUUCAUGGCCCGGGCGAAGUCGGGGUUCAGGUUGCGCCCGAAGAGUGGAUUUUCCCGACGCUGCCUUGCCUUCUGCUCAGCUUGUUCCUGAGCCCGUCGGCGAUCAUGCCGUCGGGAAUUCCUCCGCUCUCUGAAGACACGUUCCUCCGGAGUUUCCCCUAUCUCCGAGACCUCAUCUCACGAGACAGGCUGCUCCGGGUCCCGCUCUCCGGCCUCGUGAUGUCGCCGGAUAUUUCGGCGUCGGUUCCUUCGUCGGCGGGAUUCCCGCUGAGGAGGUUCCUCUCCAGGUGCGGUCGGUUCGUCGUCGGAGAUGGGGGGCGACUCCACUCUCCCGAUGAAGAGGACGUCGGGGUAGAAUGGUGCGGCUGUCGGGGCGAUCUUCUUUUCGUUCUCUUUUGAGGGCAGAGGCACGGAAAGAACGACUUGCUUCCUCCCGGUUUUAUUUGUUUCUUUCUUCCUUGCGAUUUGUGUCCAUUCUUUCGUCGGGGAGGUAGACAGUGGAGUUCUCCGGGUCAGCGUGCCCUCGGCCCCCGGCUUGCUGAAGGCGGUCUUUCUUCGGAGCGCUGGAGGUUGCGCUUUUCCCUGCCUUACUCUGACAUUUUCGGAGGUUGUUGGAAGAGACUUCUUCCUUGGCGGGUCUGCGAUGCGAUGUAGAGUUCCUUCUUCAUCUGCUAUGGAUGAGAUAGUUCCGAAGCAUAAUACGGAUCCGGGGCGGAGGGUGAUCUUGUGCUGGAAGGUGACGACCAUUGAGCUAGCUUAGAUCGGCGACACACCCCCUACCUGGCGCGCCAGUUGUCGGUGUUUUGGGUCCGACCGCACACCCGGGGUUGCCCCUCAAGGUGUUUUUAGGAGUAGGACGGUGUUACCGACUGUAGCUCAAUGGUUCGUGCAAGGUGCACGAGAAACAGUAGACAAUGGUGUACAGGUUCGGGCCGCUUUGAGAUGCAUAACACCCUACGUCCUGGCGAGAAUGCUUUAUGUGGUGGAUUACAAGGGAGCUCUCUAAUGUUGGGAACGUAGAGAGUCGGGGUGGAUGGCUGAGUAGUGAGAUCGAUCGUUCUGAAGGGGUGCCCCCUAGGCCUUAUAUAUUCGACCGUGGGGCAGUACAUGCAGAUAUGAUGACAAUGCGCACCUAAAAAAUAGUGAACUGAUUGAGUCUAUCUUCCUAUAGCUCUGCCGACUCAUCCUCGCUUGGUUCCGUUGUACGGGGCUCCAGCGCGGGAAAGUCGGGUCUCUGUUGUGGUUACUUGCUCGACGUUGUUGGGCCGUCUGGGCUCGCACCGAUCCGGCCUUGUGUCGAUCUGCUUCACUGGUCAUUCCUCUCCAGGCCCACGAAGGGAUGACCUUACGAUUUAUUGGGCCCUCGAGCCUUUCGUGAGGUCUUUUAUCCUUCUGGUGGACCCGGGGGAUAUCUGUCCCCCACACAACCCCAACCCUAACGCCGCCACACCCACUGCACCCCUUCCCCUGUCGCGCCGCCAUCAGAGUGAGUCGCCCGAGAACCGCACGACUGGCGAGGAGGGCGGCGACGAGGCUUUAGUCCCUUCCUGAAGUCGGGAGGCAUGUUGUGGCCCGGCUAUGGCUUCGACUCCGCCGUGGCCAUGUCGGCGCGCACGGCGAGGUGGUGCAUGUUGGUGCUGCCCGCGGAUUCGUCGGUGACAUGCACACACGCAAGGUCAGCGGCCUUCGCGUGCCAACCGUUCGAGGUGCUGGCAGGCUGGUCCUAGAGCCAACACAUGAACCCGGCACCGUCGACGAAGGCCACGGGAAGGCGGUGCUCGAGGGCCAGGCGGUGACCCCCGAAUUUGGUGGCAUGGUGGUGCGAGUCGGCGACUCAUCGUGGCAGAUCCAUGAGGGCUGUGUCAGCUGGGGUGGAGUUCGGCGCUGGGGCGACUUUCGAGGAUAGCGUCUGGCCUGUUUUUGCCUAAGCAAGAGGAGGGAAGACCGCUGUGGGUUGUAGAUCCAUAGGGAGGAGCCCAGCUGGGGGUGAUUCCUCGGGGGCCGCGGCAGUCGGGGUGGAGUUUGGUGAUGGUGUGGCUUCUAGGGACGGAGUGGUGCCCGACGCUGGCGUGCGGCUGUCGGGGAUGGGCGUCGUUCUGCGGAGCUAGCCCUGAUGCCACGACGAUGCUCAUGGCUGGCCGUUUUUGCCUGAGCAAGGGCCGGGGCAGCCGCGACGGGUUGAGUGGAGAUGUCUAGUGGCACGGCGGGAUGCGCCGCAGGGUGACACGGUUGACCGGAAUGGCAGUGGCGGGACCUCCUUUCGUCUGCUGCAGUAACGACCAGUGGAUCGAGCUAGCACAUGGUGGUGGCGGCGACAGGGUGCCUGACAACAGCUGGUUGUGGUGGCUGUGUGUGCUAGAGCUUACGGCGGCAACCGACAUCGGCUCUGGUGCGCCAGUGUGAUGCACGCGACAAGAUAUUGUCUGGUUCUGUGUGCCCAGCCGGAGGGGUGGUGGAUGACACGGCUUUGCGGCUGCUGCGGCAGCCGGCGCGUCGAUGCCCCUCUAGAGGGGUUUGUGCGGGAUGUCAAGGCGACGGUGCAUCUUGGCGUGUUGAUGUGCUGGGGGCAUCUUGGGCGAAAGCCUCGACGACGGUGACAUAUGUGGGUGCCGCAUCCCUGUCGAGGGUGUCGCAUCCUCCAGCAAUGUCUUCCUUGGGCGAAAGCCCGAUGCAUAUCGGACACACGACAGUGUCAUCCCCGACGUCACUACCUUCUUGAAGGCGUCGCAUUGAUGUUCGUAUCGACCACGACAUCCCCUUUCGGUUGUUGCUUUCGCUUCUCGCCGUCUAGUAUGUGGGUCAAGGUGGGUUUUUGCAACAUGAAGUCGAAGCUGCUACAUCAAGGGAUGUGACUCGACAACGAUGACAGGUGGCGAACCCCCCCUUCUUUGUGGACUUGAUUGUUUCAUAGGUUGGGCAAUUGCCUGGGGUGGGACGGAGGAUUGAGCUCGUUGGUGUAGAAUCAGAGCUACCUCACAUAGGAUGUGUUGAGGCUUCGCAACGACGACGCACCGCGAUCUUGCUCCUUUUGUGUUGGUGUUUGGGUGUAGGCAUCAUCGUGUUUUCUUUGGCCGUGUGCGGCCCGUCUUGCGGAGUCGAAGCUGCUUGUCCCUUGUGUCGAGCUCAGCAACGAUGACUAUGGAUGGGUUGUAUGUGGGAGCUGACGUUGCCUGGCCUGUUUGUGCACUCUGCAUAGGUUUCAGGCUCGAUUUUUCUUAAAAUUGAGUCAAUUAUAUUCUUUUUUUAAUUAAAAGGUAGAGCUCCUGCCAUUACGUUCAAAUGCUAGAUCAAGCUAAAAGCACUAGUUUCACUUAUGUCACUCUCUCAGUCUAUUCAAUCUAGUAUACGAGAAGUAUGGAAAACUGUUCUACCAAAUGCUUUUAUAUAACAACUUCAACCUAGCUAUUUAUUAGGCUAAAGAAAUAAAUUCACGUUCGCUUGGCUUUAAUCCGUACUGGCUUUUAUUAUUGUUUUAUCUCUAUAGAUUACAGUUGCAGCAGUAAGAACACCUGAUUUUAAUCUAAAGUAUUCUAAUAAUAAUACAGAAUUAUACUAAACAAGACCUGAUUCCUGAUUCUUAAGCCUGGUUGGUUUACGUUGAUAUAGCAACAGCACUAUUCCGGCCGCUGCAUCAAAAUUUAAAUCAAGACGCACGGCACUUUCAUCGAACAAUGAGAGGCAGCUCUGGCUGGUGACGAGAGACACGAUCACACGAACGCGACAAGUCGACCUCGCUCUCCUCACUUCCUCACUCUAUGGCAUCGGCAAGUCUCACCUUCGCGCUUCGCGGCACCUUCCUGACUUCGGUGCUCCCACCUCUCAUUUCCCGCGAGCACACUGUGCAACGCCGGCCCGGCCCAGCCCGGCACACAUUGCGUCUGUCUCUAUAUAAGAAUGGCGGACGCUAGCGAGCAACUCUGCCCAAACCGCACCAACGGCCAACGCACAAAAAACCAUUCUCAGCCUCCUCUCCUACUCGAGCAGCUAGCCCAGUCAAUCAUUCUGCUUGGAUUGGAUCCACCUUGUCUCUGAAAAUAGCUUCGAGACCUUAGCGCCCAAGAAACGGUGACCGACCGUCCCUGCGCUAGUAGCAACAGCAACAAUGGCGGCGAAGCACCUCCACGACGGGUACGAGCAGGACGGCGACCAGCCCGGCGACAACCGCAUGCGCCGCCUGCCGUCCUUGUCGACGUACGGGAGCCGCGUGCCUUCUUUCUUUCAUCUCCCGAGCUGGCUCUCGCUCUUGCUCCCCCUCUGUUUUCGUUAAUGGCCGCUCGAUCGGACUGACUGUUCGCGAUCCACGAAUUGCAGGGUGAUUCGGGAGGCGAUGAUGCAGAAGGAGAUGCAGAACCUGCUCAGGUGUCUGGAGCCUCUCAUCCGCCGAGUGGUAAGCGACGGCCGGCCGACCGGCCGGCUCGAUUCCCAUUUCUUCCUGCGAGCGAAGCAAGCAGGCGUCGUGACCGGCUCCGUGUCUCGUGGUCACCGUUGGUGGCUUGGUGCAGGUGCAAGAGGAGGUCGAGGCAGGGCUCAGGCUCAUGCAGAGCCUGCGCUACAUCGAGAGGGCGCCGGCGGAGACGCCGGCGGCGGAACGGGCGGCGUGGAAGCUGGCGUUCCGGACGCCGCCGCAGCUGCCGAUCUUCACGGGCAGCAAGAUCGAGGGCGAGGCCGGGAGGCCGCUGGAGGUGGUCCUCGUGGACGCGUGCACCGGCUCGCCCGCCGCGCCCCCGGUCCCGCGGGCGCUGCGCGUGGAGCUGGUCCCGGUGUUGGGCGACUUCCCGCCGGACGGGCGCGAGGACUGGGCCGCGGACGAGUUGGAGAGGAGCGUCGUGAGGGAGCGCGAGGGCAGGCGCCCGCUCCUGACCGGCGACGUCGGUCUCACCCUGAGGGACGGGCGCGCCACGGUGGGCGAGCUCCGGUUCACGGACAACUCGUCCUGGGUCCGCAGCCGCAGGUUCCGCAUCGCCGCCCGCGCGGCCUGCGGCGGCGGCGGCGGCGGCGGCGCGCGGGUCCAGGAGGCCGUGACGGAGGCCUUCGUGGUCAAGGACCACAGGGGCGAGCGGUGCCGCAAGCACUACCCGCCCGCCCUCACGGACGACGUGUGGAGGCUGGAGAAGAUCCGCAUGGGAGGCGCGUUCCACACGAGGCUGAUGUGCCGCAACGUCGGCACCGUGCAGGAGUUCGUCCGGAUGCUCAUGGUGAACCCCGACGAGCUUCGCGCGGUGAGUUUGCAUGCGUUCAGAACGCAGCUUGGCGUCCAUUUUCAUUUCAUUUCAUCAACCGUGCUAGCUUGUAGUAGUAAGUAACUACUGCAGUGCUAUUGAUUGUGGGUUUCUGUGGGGGAGGAGGGGUCAGAUUCUGGGCGACGGCAUGAGAGACCGCAUGUGGGAGGCGGCGACGAGGCACGCCAGGACCUGCGCCCCCGACGGCAAGGUGUACGCGCACGCCACGCCGCACGGCACCAUCUUCGUGGACUCCAUCUUCAACGUCGUGAGGGUCGACGUCGGCGGCGUCGAGUGGCCGCUGCAGCAGCUGAACAGGGGCCAGACGGUGAGUCCUCCGCCAGCGCCAUCUCAGAACAGAAGGUCAGAUGAGCAUGAGCUCCCAUUGGUUUUGUUCGUUCUGACAUGUACUCUCGUUCCGGCUCCGGCAGAUGAUGGUGCAGCAGAUGCUGCAGGACGCGUACGAGCACCGCCACAGCCUCCAGGACGCGGCCGAGGAGGCCUUCAUGCUCGACGGCCACACCGACACCAACGCUCCGCUGCUGCAGAGUAAAAGUGUCCCAACCAACUUUCCUUUCUAGUUGCAGACGGUUAGGAGUUCCGCCUGACCGCCUCGAUUAUUCCCCUGCUCUAACACCUUGUGCACGGGCGACCUGCAGACGCAGCGCACGUCGCGGCGCCGGCGCCGGUGGACACACCGCUCUGGUUCCAGAACGCCGCGGAGAUGGACUUCCCCGACGACGACGACGACGACGACGUGGUUCCCGUUCCCCAGGUCAACAGCUUCGGCUACCAGUGGACUGGCCAAGCGUUCCACAUGUGCGCUGGAUGGGUAAGCCCCGAAGAAGACAUGAACGAGGAACUCGAGUGAAGAUCGCUAGCAAGGUUCCAGCAACAGGAUGAACAUUAAAAAAAAACUACAACGUGGUUGUAUGUCCACGACCAGGAUCAUGUGUGUGAGUGUGUCUGUGUGUGUUCAUGUAACAGCAGGGUCUAAGGGUAGGUGAGUUCGAGCUGCCCUUCACUGCAUCGCCGGACGCGCCGCCGAGCGUCCGCGAGCAGCGAGAAGCGGCGAGCGAGCUAGUGCAGGAUUCUUUGGUUUGAUUCGUAUUCUUUGUUGUAAUUGUAAUCUCUCAGUUUUCCCGUUCAGCCUGGUCGUGGAGCGUCCUGCUCUGCUCCUGCUCCUGCUCCCAAAGAUGAGUUGAGUUGCAUGUAAAUGUAACGUCGGAGCAGCGACGCGUGGGGCUGGCUGGUAUAUGCCUACAACUACAAGGGCUAGCAGCAGAACUAGUUGAGUAAACAUAUACUAGUUCUGAUUUCUUCUUUGAUAUUUUUUCAAAACUUUUUUUUUUGUGUCCUGUAAACACCAAGGUCGCAAUAAAGAAAUGAAACCGCCUUUUUUUUACAUAAACACGAAUGUUCGAGGACUCUUGGUCUUUGUUGUGUCUCAAAAGUUAAACUAUGGCCCUCUUUGGCAGGCUCCUAACGACUUCGGCUCUAGCUUCUCUGGCUUCUUGGCUUCUUUAGAGGAGUCAGAGCUGUUUUGUAAUUCAUUUGGCAAAACAGCUUCUCACGAGGCGACGGUGGCAGACACUAUAAUUUCAUGAAAUAUUAUUGUGUGUCGGAUAGAAGGAGCCGUUAGAAGUUUGUUUUCUCGUGCUUCGGCUCCCAAUAGCAAAACGGCUCUGGCUCUUUGAUGACUCUCGGUGAGGAGCCAUUUUUUUAAGACCGUUUGGUACGGCUUCACGAAGAGCGAGAAAAAAGAGCCACCGAGAGAGCCCUGCCAAAGGGGGCCUAUAGCGCUGUGUCGGAGCAACUCUAGUAGAAUCCCUUAAAUCAGAGCGCUGCUUAUUUUUAAGGUCUCUAUUUUUUCUGUCUAUUCUGUUGUGUCCAAGUUUUUAAGAUAAUGUUUAGUUUCAUAGUGUAUUAGAAUGGAGCCGUUCUAUUCCAACGUUGAGGAUGUUCGAUUCGAUUCUAAGUUAAACGAAGCUGCUCUAACUUAGAAAUAUUCUUUGUAGCUGUUGAAUUUGGCGGCUCCCUAAAAUCGAUAACCGUGGCGACUCACGAGCGACACGCUCUUGUUCCAUUUACGUACAACGCUUCUCCUCUUCUCCCUCCCCUGCCUCCGCCAUGGCCACACAAUUGUCUAGUUGCUUCCUCCCAUUUUGAAUCUGAUCUGCCUCGCUAUUCCCAUCGCCUCCUCACUCUCCUGCCUCCACUCCCUAGUCGUCGCGCCUCUUUCGAGUAGCCAUGAACGAAGCCUUCACACGUGCAGCGGACGAUGACCUAAAGCUCAUCAAGCGUCUGGUCUUUCCCGGAGAGGGCAGGAUGCCCCCGUCGCGCUUGCACCUGGCAAUGGAGCGGGACAACCCUAUCACGGCGCUGUAGCCGCUUAUGUCGAUGGCGCCCAUGGCAUACGUGGUCAUCGUUGACCCGACUGUCGUAGGCAACUCUGACGUGCCCAACUAUCAAUCCCAAGUCAUAAGGUUUUAGGACUCUGCUCUUGCAUUGGAGCCUCCAAAAUGAGAAGUUCAAUAGUCAUCGACAGUGGUGAAGCUAGAGCAAAAUGUAAGGAGGUGCACAUCUCUUGUGGGUGCACAGGGAUAAAAUAUGGGUGAUACAUAUAUUGUAAAAAUUCGACUAUUAUAAUUGUUUUUGGGAUCUUUUGGGAUGCAUGUGCAUUCACAACGCACAACUUAGCUUCGCCCCUGGUCAUUGGUUUGUUGAUGAGCCUUUGAAGAUUAUUUUUCUUCUUCUGCUUUCCUACGAGGAUGUAGUACUCGUAUCACUCUCCUUGUAUUGUUUAGAUAAGGGGUUAUUUUUUCAUUUAAUUCCUACUUCUGCACUAAUGCCACAUUAUAUUUAUUUUUUAAGUAAAAUGCAUCAGUAGUCCUUGGAUUUGGCAUGAUGUAUCACAUGGGUCGUCAAACUUUUAAAACUACGAAAAUAGACCAUUGAACUUUACUUACCCAUGCAAAAUCAUAUAAAAAUCAGAUUUGUUCAAACUGUAUGGCGACGUGACAUGCCACAUUGGAGGCACGUUGGCGUCUCCCCACAUGUGUCGUGUGCCACCUGAUACGCACAGUCCCUGAAUUUGGAGUGUUGUGUCACUUAGGUCAUUGAACUUGGUAUGUUGUAUCGUUUGGGCCUUGAACUUUCAUCAGUGCACUCCAGUGUGGCACGUCAUAUUGACAUCCGGUUUGAGCGAAUCCAGUUUUGCACGAUUUUGCAUAGGUCGGCAAAGUUCAAAGACCCAUUUUCAUGGUCUUGUAAGUUCGUUGGCCCAAGUGACAAACCGUGUCAAGUUUAAGGACCGAUAAUACAUUUUAAUUUUUUAAGAGCUGAUUUAAUGAACAAAAAAAUGGAGGAAAUUCAUAGAGGGAGUACCCUAGCUAUUCAAUUUUGAAUAACGAGGAAUUUACCUCCAUGGAUCUUCUCCGUCCGAUUUCACUAGUCACCAAACAGCCCUAAGUACGGUUGUGCGAGUAGAAGGGGUCACGGCACCCAACAAUAAGCAGCCGAUGUAGAGGCUGGACCCGUUCGAUUAUCUUUUAGAAAAACAAUAAAUAGAUGCUUUUGCAUCGGUCGCAAAUUCACCCGGGCCCAGGCGUUACAAUGAUCGAGUGACGAGUGAUGUACGUCGUUAUCAUUGGUUACGUUCAAACCGCGUUAAAUUAUGCCACAUGAACCAAAUCCUCCUUAGAUGUUUGCUACUAGUAGUAGUAGUACUUUGUUGAUGUAGCUAGGACAACAAGUCGUGAUUAUUUUUCCGUACUAGAUAUGGUCAGAGGCCGCACAACAACCCCAUAUCCAUUCCACAACCAUUAGACGCGGGAUUGUCAGGAACAUGGGAUCUGCACAUGAGCAAGUGGAAGGCUGAAAGAGCAGAAGGUUGAGCGGAGGAGUAAUCUGUGUAAUUAAGUUUUGUUUGUGAUUAGGCCUAUUGGGCCAAGGGUUUGGGCCGUCUGGCCUUGUAAGGAGAGGGUGUACUUAAACCCUGAAUCAUCUGUUAAUCGGUAGACAAGAUAGAGAAGAAAAACAACCACCAAACAGAAUUUCUGUUACCUGCGCUUGUCCUUCCCUCGGAGGCAGCCACCGUGGGUGCUCACGUCGGAGUUGGCGCUACUCCGGCCACGGGUCUCACACUUGGUAUCAAAGACGGGUCAGCAGUCGUUGCUGGACAGCGAUCACCAGCGUUGUCAAUACGGCGCCUAUCACCAAACCAUCGAUGCAGACACGUUUUGUUUUGGAAGCCAUGGCGGAUCGAGAUAGGCAAACUCAGGAGAGUUUGAGCAAGGUCAUGGAGACUCUGGUAGUGGUGAGUGAUCGAUUGAAGGAUGUCGAGCACGUGCAACAGCAGAUGAUGAUGCGCACGGAUUUGGCUGCGUCUGUUGCUGAGCAGGCGACGAAGGAGCGAGUCGAGUUAUGUUGUAAGGUGGAAGAAACAGGGAAGGUGUUGGCCCAGAUACGUUUGGAAUUGAUGGGGAAGCAGUUGGAGGAUUCUUCUGGGGGAGCGGAAUUUCCAUCUUCAGCUCAUCAACAUCACAGUG
rnacentral:lncRNA from 1 species